rnacentral:tRNA from 1 species
GAGAAAGUGCGCAAGAACUGCUAAUUCAUGCUCCCAAGGACUAACAACUUGGCUUCCUCA